rnacentral:rRNA from 1 species
UACGGGGGGAGCAAGCGUUGUUCGGAUUUACUGGGCGUAAAGGGCGCGUAGGCGGUCAGCACAAGUCAAUUGUGAAAUCUCCGAGCUUAACUCGGAAAGGUCAACUGAAACUGUGCGACUAGAGUGCGGAAGGGGGCAACUGGAAUUCUUGGUGUAGCGGUGAAAUGCGUAGAUAUCAAGAGGAACACCUGCGGCGAAGGCGGGUUGCUGGGCCGACACUGACGCUGAAGCGCGAAAGCCAGGGGAGCAAACGGG